AGGGGAAUAGCUCAGUGAUAGAGCACGUGCUUAGCAUGCACAAGGUCCUGGGUUCAAUCCUCAGUACCUCCA
rnacentral:tRNA from 1 species